GGCCUGCUUUUGUGGGUCCUGGAUGAGUGGCGAACGGGUGAGUAACACGUGAGUAACCUGCCCCCUUCUUCUGGAUAACCGCAUGAAAGUGUGGCUAAUACGGGAUAUUCUGGGUCUGUCGCAUGGUGGGCCUGGGAAAGAUUGCGCCUUUUUUGGUGUUUUUGGUGGGGGAUGGGCUCGCGGCCUAUCAGCUUGUUGGUGGGGUGAUGGCCUACCAAGGCGGUGACGGGUAGCCGGCCUGAGAGGGUGGACGGUCACACUGGGACUGAGACACGGCCCAGACUCCUACGGGAGGCAGCAGUGGGGAAUAUUGCACAAUGGGCGCAAGCCUGAUGCAGCGACGCCGCGUGAGGGAUGGAGGCCUUCGGGUUGUGAACCUCUUUCGCCAGUGAAGCAGGCCUGCCUCGUUUGUGGGUGGGUUGACGGUAGCUGGAUAAGAAGCGCCGGCUAACUACGUGCCAGCAGCCGCGGUAAUACGUAGGGCGCGAGCGUUGUCCGGAAUUAUUGGGCGUAAAGAGCUCGUAGGCGGCUGGUCGCGUCUGUCGUGAAAUCCUCUGGCU
rnacentral:rRNA from 1 species